AUGGGGUCGGCGUGGAGGCAGCUCGGGCAGGGGAGCGCACGGGAGCUGCGGGCAUCCAGAUCGGGCACGAGGAGGACGGCGAACGGGGACGAGGGGUUGGUCAGGCGGGGCUGUGGUGGUUGGCUCGCUGGGGAAAACGAGAGUGGGAGGAUUUUUGGAUCAGGAGGGGAUCCCAAGGAAGGGGAGACAAGAGGAGUGGUGGCGGAAUGA
rnacentral:rRNA from 1 species